rnacentral:RNase_P_RNA from 1 species
CCAGACGGUCGGAUGGCCGCUCUUCGCAUCGGGGAAACCCGCGGAGGGAGGAAAGUCCGGGCUCCACGGAGACACGGUGCCGGGUAACGCCCGGCGGAGGCGACUCCAGGGAAAGUGCCACAGAAAGCAAACCGCCCUUCGACGCCUCUGGCGCAGAAGGGUAAGGGUGAAAGGGUGCGGUAAGAGCGCACCGCACUGCCGGUAACGGUAGUGGCAGGGCAAACCCCACCGGGAGCAAGACCGAAUAGGGGCGGCAUAGUGGGUUUCGGCCCGCGGAUGGGUUUCCGCAUCGCUGCCCGGGUAGGUCGCGCGAGGCGUCCGGCGACGGACGUCCCAGAUGAAUGGUCAUCACCCGCGCAAGCGGGGACAGAACCCGGCUUACAGACCGUCUGGCAAU